GUCUUAGGUACGCUUACCAUGCAGUCGAGCGGUAAGGCCCUUCGGGGUACACGAGCGGCGAACGGGUGAGUAACACGUGGGUGAUCUGCCCUGCACUUCGGGAUAAGCCUGGGAAACUGGGUCUAAUACCGGAUAUGACCUUCGGCUGCAUGGCUGAGGGUGGAAAGGUUUACUGGUGCAGGAUGGGCCCGCGGCCUAUCAGCUUGUUGGUGGGGUAAUGGCCUACCAAGGCGACGACGGGUAGCCGACCUGAGAGGGUGACCGGCCACACUGGGACUGAGACACGGCCCAGACUCCUACGGGAGGCAGCAGUGGGGAAUAUUGCACAAUGGGCGAAAGCCUGAUGCAGCGACGCCGCGUGAGGGAUGACGGCCUUCGGGUUGUAAACCUCUUUCAGCAGGGACGAAGCGAAAGUGACGGUACCUGCAGAAGAAGCACCGGCCAACUACGUGCCAGCAGCCGCGGUAAUACGUAGGGUGCAAGCGUUGUCCGGAAUUACUGGGCGUAAAGAGCUCGUAGGCGGUUUGUCGCGUCGUCUGUGAAAACUCGAGGCUCAACCUCGAGCUUGCAGGCGAUACGGGCAGACUUGAGUACUGCAGGGGAGACUGGAAUUCCUGGUGUAGCGGUGAAAUGCGCAGAUAUCAGGAGGAACACCGGUGGCGAAGGCGGGUCUCUGGGCAGUAACUGACGCUGAGGAGCGAAAGCGUGGGUAGCGAACAGGAUUAGAUACCCUGGUAGUCCACGCCGUAAACGGUGGGCGCUAGGUGUGGGUUUCCUUCCACGGGAUCCGUGCCGUAGCUAACGCAUUAAGCGCCCCGCCUGGGGGAGUACGGCCGCAAGGCUAAAACUCAAGGAAUUGACGGGGGCCCGCACAAGCGGCGGAGCAUGUGGAUUAAUUCGAUGCAACGCGAAGAACCUUACCUGGGUUUGACAUAUACCGGAAGCCGUAGAGAUACGGCCCCCUUGUGUCGGUAUACAGGUGGUGCAUGCUGUCGUCAGCUCGUGUCGUGAGAUGUGGGUAGUCCCGCAACGAGCGCACCCUGUCUAUGUGCAGCACGUAUGUGGACUCGUAGAACUGCGGUCAACUCGGAGGAAGUGGGACGACGUCAGUCAUCAUGCCCCUAAUGUCAG
rnacentral:rRNA from 1 species